GAUGAACGCUGGCGGCGUGCUUAACACAUGCAAGUCGAACGGAGAACCCCUGACGGAGGCUUCGGCCAACUGAUGGGAAUUCUUAGUGGCGGACGGGUGAGUAACGCGUGAGGAACCUGCCUUGGAGUGGGGAAUAACAGUUAGAAAUAGCUGCUAAUACCGCAUAAUGCAACUAAGUCGCAUGGCUUUGGUUGCCAAAGAUUUAUCGCUCUGAGAUGGCCUCGCGUCUGAUUAGUUAGUUGGCGGGGUAACGGCCCACCAAGACGACGAUCAGUAGCCGGACUGAGAGGUUGGCCGGCCACAUUGGGACUGAGACACGGCCCAG
rnacentral:rRNA from 1 species